CACAUUUCCUGUCACCUGGUAGACCUAGAGCCUUGAUGAGAUUCAGAUUCAAGUUUUUUGGGGGGGUGGGCAACACAGUUUCGUAGGUGGCUGCUGAAUACUUCCUAUAGCAUCACAUUAGGAGCCACAUAAUGUCUGGUUAUCCAAAUUUUGCUGCAGUUAAGAUUGACCUUUAUUAGCUGAGAUUCUUCAAUAAAGAAGAACUUUCCCUCAUCAACCAAGGGAUUACUUUCAAGAGGCUCUCUCUUCGGCUUUCUGCAGUUUCAUUACCACGUGACUAGAUACGACUGGAUACAAGGACCUCAGAACGCUUUCACUCUAUGGUCCACUCAAACAUAGAUGCUGUUGUCAUCGGGAUAUCUGUGAGGCAGUGGAGAAGCCAAGGAGGCGGCGGGCAGUGAGGCCUGAGCAUGGCUUGAUAAGAAGGUCUGCCCCCAGGAUCCAAACCCAUGAACCCCAGGACGCUGAAGUGGAGCACACGAACUUAACACUACACUACCAGACCGGUCCUGCUUCCCUUAAAUCUUGACAUCUGUAUCCAAAUGCUUAAUCAACAUUGGAUGUCUACUCGGCAUUUCAAACUUAACGUGUCCCCAAAUGAAAUCCUGAUUUGCAACCUCAGGCACUCUCCUCCCCUAAUCCUCUCCAUCUGGCAAGAGAUUCUUCCAAAUCUUGGAAUCGUCCACGACUCUACUCUUUUCCUAAUACCUCACAUUCACUCCAUCAGCAAAUAUCAUCACCUGUAUCUUGGCCAUAUCUUCAGAACCGGAGCUUCUCAUCACCUCCAAAGCUACCGCCUUCGCCCAAACCACCACCAGCUUUGCCUGGGCUAUUUCGAAAGCUUCUAACCAGUCUCUCUGGUCCCACUCGUGCCCACUCUGUUACUGCAUGUGUGUGAGGAUAUAUACAUAUUCAUUUACUCUAACAGAGACCCAAAUAAACAUUGCCUUAAACAAGACAGGGUUUGUUUCUCACUCAUGUAGCCGCAGGGCGGAAGGAGCUCAGGACUUGUGGGGCAG
rnacentral:lncRNA from 1 species